GUCUUCUUCCAAAGAAGAGCCUUUGGUAUUUGGCAGAGCCUCGCCAAUUUGGGGCGCACCUCCCCUUCCUGGGAUGCUCUCAGAAGGCAAACCAAUUCCCAGAAGAGAGGGAAAAACAGCCACAACAGAGAGAACCUUUGCUGUCCCUGUUUGGAAAGAGAUUGGGAUUUCCUGGAGAGGGCUUGCUUCUACUGCAGGUUUGUUUAAAAGCUCAACAUCUAUUCUGGAAGAGAACAACGCAGACUCCAGGAAGAUGGAGAAAAGGCAUUUGCUGCCCAAGGUAGAAUCCCAUCACCAUACUCCUUUCCUACAUCCAAUCACAAAAUCAGAAUAUGCCAAUUCUCUAUUCCCAAGUAAGUCAACAGACCCUAAGAUUACAUUCCCUUUCUCCCCUCUGCAAAGCUUCAGGGACAGGAGUCCCUGACAGGCAGCUGACAUUUGGGGUUGCAUACAAAAAGUCAAGUCAUUGCAAGAGAAGGAAGUUUGUUUCUAUUGGAAGAGUUAGUGUACAACAUAUAAAAACGGAGUGAGGAUGGGGAUAUUGUAGUAGGGAGGGGGUUAAAGGGCUUAGAAAAUGAUUUUUUUAAAGGUGGACAGGGGAAGAGUAGAAGGCAAAAAAAUGUCAUCCAUGUGGGACAUCUUCUGAACGCCCAAGGAGAAUCUUUGGGGAUACAUUCCCCCCAAGAUUUAAAGAAGUGGCUUCACUCCUGAGAAUGUACAGGGAGCGGAGAAGCUAAACCAGGAGCAACAUCCAAUUUCUUUGUCUCUCCUUCUCUUCUCACUGCAAACUCUGUACAGGUUUGGCAUAACUAUCUAAACUUUCUAGUAAAAAUCAUAGCCUUCAUGAAGAUCCAUUGUGUAUUUGAUUCACAGAAAGUUGGUAUUGAAUUGUAAAACACGGCUACAAAUUUCUCCCUCUCCAACAGGCGUGUCAUUUUGGAAUGUGUCUUGCUGCUCUUCUCAUCAAAGGUAAAGUCCUCUUCUUCACCUUUUAACCUAGAGUAGCUGUGCAACUUUCUUUGACCAAUCAAAUAUGGUGGAAGUGAUGUUGCGUGACUUCCAGAUAUAAGUCUUAAAGAGAUUUUUCACUUUCUGCUUUCACUCUCUUGGAAUGUUGCCCUGAGAUCACCACACCAUGAAGAAGUCUGGGGCGAAAGGCCAUGUGGAGUGAGAGGCUCAGCUUCCCAGAUGAUCUCACUGAGCACAGCCCCCAGCCACCUGCCAGCUCAAUGCAACCUGGUGAUGGACCCAAGCAAAUACCAGCAGAAGAAUCACCUGGUCAACCCACAGAAUCAUGAGAAAUACUAAUUUGUUGUUGUCUUAAGCCACAGGGUGAAGACUAUAUUUGCUCACAUAAAUUGUGUCCUUAUAACAGAAAAAGCUUCUUAGGGCUGGUGCGGUGGCUUAUUCCUGUAAUCCCAGCACUUUGGGAGGCGGACGCAAGCAGAUCACUUGAGUUCAGGAGUUCUAGACCAGCCUGGCCUACAUGGUGAAACCCCGUCUCCACUAAAAAUACAAAAAUUAGACAGGCAUGGUGGUGCAUGCCUGUAAUCCCAGCUACCUGGAAGGCUGAGGCAGGAAAAUUGCUUGAACUUGGGAGGCAGAGGCUGCAGCGAACCAAGAUGGGACCACUACACUCCAAACUGGGUGACACAGUGAGACUCCAUCUAAAAAACAAACAACAACAACAAAAGAAAAAGCAUCUCAGAAAAACGUUCCCCUUUUUCAUUGAUUCCAUGCAAAUGAUACUUCACCCUAUUGUUUACUUGUCCUGAAAUUUCAAAGCAGCAGAAAUUCUGCUAUACAUUAUCCUUUUAUCUGGUAUUUAUUGAAAAUGUAUUUGGCUAUGAUUUGAAAUAUAUAACAUAGUGUCAGGUUUAUUUUCUCAUGUAACGAGUCAAGAAGUAGGUGGUUGCUGCCUUUCUUUCAGUUAUUCAACACUAUAAUCAAUCACUGUCUUGUCUUUUUAUAUUUCUGUUCGCUAUCUUCUAUGUGUUGGGUUUCCUUCCCGGUGGGUGUCAUAUCAGGGUCACAAAAUGGCUGCUAUUGCCCAGUAAUACUCGAAUGCUCGAGCGAGGGCAGGAUGGAGGGAGGGGCUGCUAGCUGUAUCUGUCUCCUUUUGUCAGAAAAGCAAAAGCUUUCCGGGAAGCUCUCCUAGCGGCGACUCCUUACAUCUCAAGGCCACAAAUUUCAAAGAGUGGAAAAGCAGAAAACAAGAUUCUCAUUUUUGGCACCAUUGUGAGACAUUGCCUAGGAAAGGCAUAUUGACAAUUCAAACAAAAUCUUAAAUUCUAGUAGCAAAGGACACAGAGGAAUGAAUAUUUGGUACGGGACAGAAAGGAUCUGCCUAAAUGCCCUAGUUCAUUUGAAUGUAAAAUUCUUAAAGGCUGGGAUUGUGCCUGUUCUCUUCUUUGUGUAUAGGACUCAGAUCAUAAGAAAAAUCUUUGACACUACAAAUUCUAUACACUAAGGCAGUAUCCCCAAAUUUCAUUCAAUUUUUCUAAUAUGGGGGUGCUACUGAGCACAAAACUAGAAAGAGAUUAUAAAUAUACAUAUUCUUGGUCAGUUUAGACUACUAUAGCAAAAUAUGAUGCACUAGGUGGUUUAAAUGAUCUCCUCUUAGGGCCCUUGCUGUGUCCUUGUAUGGUGGAGAGACAGUUCUCUGGCCUCUCUUCUCUUCUUAUAAGGCCACUAAUUCCAUCAUGGGGACUUCACCCUCACGUCCUGAUCUAAACCUGAGCACCCCCCAAAGGUUCCACAUUCAAAUACCAUCACACUAGAGGUUAGGGCUUCAACAUAUAAAUUUGGGGGAAGAUAAGCGUUUAGACCAUUAUUUAUUUAUAUGUUAAAAAUAAUAUAGAAUAUUCCCAGAAGUCAAUUUUUGCUCCAUGUAUUAGAAUACUUAUUAAACCUUCCUAUGCCCAGCAAAAUUGUAGACACUGAAAAAAUACCAACAGAAAAUGGUCCAGCUUUUAAUGCAUUUAAGCUGAAAUAAGAAGUGGUGAACACAGAUCCAAAUUGAACUAAAAUGUUAUGUAAUCUAUAAUAGCAACCUUUUAUCUGGUGUCUAUUAUGUGAUAAUGGUAUAACGUACUUUAUCUAAUCUUCACAACAACACUGCUAGGUAGUUAUUAGCCUCAUCUUAAGUGUUAGAAAACAGAGAACACUGAGAGGCUAAGAAAUUCAUUCAAGGCCACCCAGGGCAUAAGCAGUGGAGCUGAAGUUUGGACAAGAUUUCUUUUUC
rnacentral:lncRNA from 1 species